rnacentral:lncRNA from 1 species
GGCCUGCGGUUACCGAGGCGACGAAACUUUAUUGACAGCUCUGCCUGGCUACAAAGGGCUCCUCAGUCUCUCUCCCUCCCAGACCACCGUAUCUCUCCCUCCCUCCCCGUUUACACCGUUGCGUUUUGGGAGUAUCCACACGCACUCUGUGGGACCUUCCCGCGAUAUGAACGGGGUCGGAUGGAGGGAGGGGAGGCUGAGGGAGGAGUGGGGACUUUUGAGACAAGCCCUGACUCCUGGGGCGCUCCCCUGGGGCACCCCCUAAUUGGGAUCACCCCCCCUACCUCAAUCCUAGAGGCAAACGUAACUAACAAUUCAUCAUAAUUACGCCGAGAAUAAUAAGCUCCACACUCAGAACAGGC